rnacentral:rRNA from 1 species
UACGUAGGGGGCGAGCGUUAUCCAGAUUUACUGGGCGUAAAGCGCGUGUAGGCGGCUGGUUAGGUGUGAUGUGAAAUCCUCGGGCUCAACCCGAGAACUGCAUUGCAAACCGGCCUGGCUAGAGUGCAGGAGAGGGAAGCGGAAUUCCAGGUGUAGCGGUGAAAUUCGUAGAUAUUCGGAAGAACACCAGUGGCGAAGGCGGCUCACUGGCCCGGUACUGACGCUGAGGUGCGAAAGCGUGGGGAGCAAACAGG